rnacentral:lncRNA from 1 species
GCCUCUGCUGCCUCUCCUCCCAGUUGGAUCCACAUCCACACAGGGUGAAGCAUAGCUUGCAUCCAUGGUGGACCGGAGCAACGUAGGCGGCGGCCUUGGGCUGGUAGCGGCGGUCGCCGUGGUGUCCACCGGCAUCAUCGUCCUGGCCUCGUACCACCUCCACCGCCGCCUCCGCGCCGACCUCAAGGUCGGCAUCACCGGUGAGAUAUAUAUACUUGUUCUUUGUCCAUCGCUAGCUAGCAGCAUCGUCAUCGACACGAAGAAAGAGAUCAACUUAUUAAUUUUAUUACAAGCUGUAUAAGAUUGCUGACCCUGCCCUCCUCCAUGACCGGUGCAACACAAUUGAUGCGAGCAGAGCAACGGCGGCAGAGGUGGACGUGGAAGAAGAAGAAGAAGAAGAAGGUGCGGUUCGCGGACGAGCUGGUGACGGAUCCCUCGUCGGCCCCCCGCGAGGAGUACCGCCGGCGAGCCGCCGAUGACCCGAUCCGGCCGGCGCUGCGUAAGGCCUAGCUACUCGGUCUUUCUGCAGUCCUGCUUAUAAUGAAUUACUAGUUUCAGUAAAUAAAAAACCAGCAGCACUAAGAAAAGGGAGUAAAUAAAGCUGCAUUUUGCCAUCUCAGAUACAACAAUUGUGUUGUUUAAU